UCUAAAGUCCCGGAGAAUGCUUUCACGUGAUCACUCGACAAAUGUCCCGGAUAAAAAGCGCAGUCAACGGUUUUUCUGUGUAAAAGUUCAUGAUCACGGUGUUUCCACGUUUACGCGGUUGUGAAACUUAAGGUCACUGUGUUGUCUGCAGGAUGGUAAAAAAUACGUGAUGACUGCUAGGCUAGGAGAAGUGAAGAUGUUGUCAAUCUAAUUCCAAGCCAAAGUUUUCUAAUCAUCAUCACUACACAUGUUGAUGUAUGUUGAUAUUAGGUUGCUCUAAAGUGUGCACAAGACAAGGAUUGACAACACUGAUCAGAAUAGGAUGAUGUUGGCUUAUGGUGGUAUAUCUAGAAAGUAACCUGGCAGUGGAAUGAAACUAAAAGGCUCUUUUGUGCUUACACAUCACUAUGUUUUGAUUGUAUUUGGUGGUUGUCCUACUGUGCUAUAAGCCAGUCUUCAAACAGAUGCUAUAGCUGUUCCAAUCAACAAGAAAUAUGGAAGCAACUUGGAAGAGGAAUGCAAACGGUCCUUCAGACACAGUCACAUAAACACAGGAAUUGCGUCAUCACACCAAUGGCAGGUACAUAAAUAGUCCAGUUAACUAUCAUAGAAUGUUGCACUGACGUCAGACAAUAGUAGUGGUAGUGUAUAGAUGUAGGCAGUGUAGGAG